CCUACGGGUGGCAGCAGUAGGGAAUUUUGCGCAAUGGGGGAAACCCUGACGCAGUAACGCCGCGUGAUCGAUGAAGCCCUUCGGGGUGUAAAGAUCUGUCAGUGGGGACGAAACCUGACGGUACCCACAGAGGAAGCACCGGCUAACUCCGUGCCAGCAGCCGCGGUAAUAGGGGGGGUGCAAGCGUUGCCCGGAAUCAUUGGGCGUAAAGAGUUCGUAGGUGGCACGUUAAGUCUGGUGUUAAAGGCGGAAGCUCAACUGCCGUAGGGCACUGGAUACUGGGGAGCUUGAUUGCGGUAGAGGUAAAUGGAAUUCCUGGUGUAGCGGUGAAAUGCGUAGAUAUUAGGAGGAACACCGGUGGCGUAGGCGCUUUACUGGACCGUAAUUGACGCUGAGGAACGAAAGCGGGGGUAGCAAAUGGGAUUAGAUACCCGUGUAGUC
rnacentral:rRNA from 1 species